rnacentral:rRNA from 1 species
ACCCGGAGAACUGAAACAUCUUAGUACCCGGAGGAAGAGAAAGAAAAUUCGAUUCCCUUAGUAGCGGCGAGCGAAACGGGAAGAGCCCAAACCAAAAAGCUUGCUUGUUGGGGUUGUAGGACACUCUAUACGGAGUUACAAAGGACGACAUUAGACGAAUCAUCUGGAAAGAUGAAUCAAAGAAGGUAAUAAUCCUGUAGUCGAAAAUGUUGUCUCUCUUGAGUGGAUCCUGAGUACGACGGAGCACGUGAAAUUCCGUCGGAAUCUGGGAGGACCAUCUCCUAAGGCUAAAUACUCUCUAGUGACCGAUAGUGAACCAGUACCGUGAGGGAAAGGUGAAAAGCACCCCGGAAGGGGAGUGAAAUAGAACCUGAAACCGUGUGCUUACAAGUAGUCAGAGCCCGUUAAUGGGUGAUGGCGUGCCUUUUGUAGAAUGAACCGGCGAGUUACGAUUUGAUGCAAGGUUAAGCAGUAAAUGUGGAGCCGUAGCGAAAGCGAGUCUGAAUAGGGCGUUUAGUAUUUGGUCGUAGACCCGAAACCAGGUGAUCUACCCUUGGUCAGGUUGAAGUUCAGGUAACACUGAAUGGAGGACCGAACCGACUUACGUUGAAAAGUGAGCGGAUGAACUGAGGGUAGCGGAGAAAUUCCAAUCGAACCUGGAGAUAGCUGGUUCUCUCCGAAAUAGCUUUAGGGCUAGCCUCAAGUGAUGAUUAUUGGAGGUAGAGCACUGUUUGGACGAGGGGCCCCUCUCGGGUUACCGAAUUCAGACAAACUCCGAAUGCCAAUUAAUUUAACUUGGGAGUCAGAACAUGGGUGAUAAGGUCCGUGUUCGAAAGGGAAACAGCCCAGACCACCAGCUAAGGUCCCAAAAUAUAUGUUAAGUGGAAAAGGAUGUGGCGUUGCCCAGACAACUAGGAUGUUGGCUUAGAAGCAGCCAUCAUUUAAAGAGUGCGUAAUAGCUCACUAGUCGAGUGACACUGCGCCGAAAAUGUACCGGGGCUAAACAUAUUACCGAAGCUGUGGAUUGUCCUUUGGACAAUGGUAGGAGAGCGUUCUAAGGGCGUUGAAGCAUGAUCGUAAGGACAUGUGGAGCGCUUAGAAGUGAGAAUGCCGGUGUGAGUAGCGAAAGACGGGUGAGAAUCCCGUCCACCGAUUGACUAAGGUUUCCAGAGGAAGGCUCGUCCGCUCUGGGUUAGUCGGGUCCUAAGCUGAGGCCGACAGGCGUAGGCGAUGGAUAACAGGUUGAUAUUCCUGUACCACCUAUAAUCGUUUUAAUCGAUGGGGGGACGCAGUAGGAUAGGCGAAGCGUGCGAUUGGAUUGCACGUCUAAGCAGUAAGGCUGAGUAUUAGGCAAAUCCGGUACUCGUUAAGGCUGAGCUGUGAUGGGGAGAAGACAUUGUGUCUUCGAGUCGUUGAUUUCACACUGCCGAGAAAAGCCUCUAGAUAGAAAAUAGGUGCCCGUACCGCAAACCGACACAGGUAGUCAAGAUGAGAAUUCUAAGGUGAGCGAGCGAACUCUCGUUAAGGAACUCGGCAAAAUGACCCCGUAACUUCGGGAGAAGGGGUGCUCUUUAGGGUUAACGCCCAGAAGAGCCGCAGUGAAUAGGCCCAAGCGACUGUUUAUCAAAAACACAGGUCUCUGCUAAACCGUAAGGUGAUGUAUAGGGGCUGACGCCUGCCCGGUGCUGGAAGGUUAAGAGGAGUGGUUAGCUUCUGCGAAGCUACGAAUCGAAGCCCCAGUAAACGGCGGCCGUAACUAUAACGGUCCUAAGGUAGCGAAAUUCCUUGUCGGGUAAGUUCCGACCCGCACGAAAGGCGUAACGAUUUGGGCACUGUCUCAACGAGAGACUCGGUGAAAUCAUAGUACCUGUGAAGAUGCAGGUUACCCGUGACAGGACGGAAAGACCCCGUGGAGCUUUACUGUAGCCUGAUAUUGAAAUUCGGCACAGCUUGUACAGGAUAGGUAGGAGCCUUUGAAACGUGAGCGCUAGCUUACGUGGAGGCGCUGGUGGGAUACUACCCUAGCUGUGUUGGCUUUCUAACCCGCACCACUUAUCGUGGUGGGAGACAGUGUCAGGCGGGCAGUUUGACUGGGGCGGUCGCCUCCUAAAAGGUAACGGAGGCGCUCAAAGGUUCCCUCAGAAUGGUUGGAAAUCAUUCAUAGAGUGUAAAGGCAUAAGGGAGCUUGACUGCGAGACCUACAAGUCGAGCAGGGUCGAAAGACGGACUUAGUGAUCCGGUGGUUCCGCAUGGAAGGGCCAUCGCUCAACGGAUAAAAGCUACCCCGGGGAUAACAGGCUUAUCUCCCCCAAGAGUUCACAUCGACGGGGAGGUUUGGCACCUCGAUGUCGGCUCAUCGCAUCCUGGGGCUGUAGUCGGUCCCAAGGGUUGGGCUGUUCGCCCAUUAAAGCGGUACGCGAGCUGGGUUCAGAACGUCGUGAGACAGUUCGGUCCCUAUCCGUCGUGGGCGUAGGAAAUUUGAGAGGAGCUGUCCUUAGUACGAGAGGACCGGGAUGGACAUACCUCUGGUGUACCAGUUGUCGUGCCAACGGCAUAGCUGGGUAGCUAUGUGUGGACGGGAUAAGUGCUGAAAGCAUCUAAGCAUGAAGCCCCCCUCAAGAUGAGAUUUCCCAACUUCGGUUAUAAGAUCCCUCAAAGAUGAUGAGGUUAAUAGGUUCGAGGUGGAAGCAUGGUGACAUGUGGAGCUGACGAAUACUAAUCGAUCGAAGACUUAAUCAA